GGUUGUUGUAUUUGUGUUGCACACUGAUUGGGAAGGAGAUGGCUGGGCAAGCAGCAGUGACUGACUAUCAGGGACAAGGAAAAGCAAACUCCGCGCCACUAGACUUCCUGUCACAGAAUCCCACAGUCUGAGUCUCUAUGGAAGGCA